CAGUCGAGCGGCAACGAGUUAUCUUUUCCUUCUGGGAAGGAUAGCGGCGUCCAGCUGAGUACGGGUGAGUAAUGCCCACGAAAUUGCCCUGAUGUGGGGGAUAACCAUUGCUAACGAUGGCUAAUACCUCAUGAUGACUACGGGCCAAAUAGGGGGACCUUCCGGCCUCUCGCGUCAGGAUAUGCCUAGGUGGGAUUAGCUAGUUGGUGAGGUAAGGGCUCACCAACGCAACUAUCCCUAGCUGGUCUGAGAGGAUGAUCAGCCACACUGGAACUGAAACACCGUCCAGACUCCUACGGGAGGCAACAUUGGGGAAUAUUGCACAAUGGGCGCCAGCCUGAUGCAGCCAUGCCGCGUGUAUGAAGAAGGCCUUCGGGUUGUCAAGUACUAUCAGUCGUGAGGAAGGCGCAGUCCUUAUUAGCGUCUUUAUCUGACGAUAACGACAGAAGAAGCUCCACCCCCCCCCCGUGC
rnacentral:rRNA from 1 species